CUUUGGGAAUAUUCCAUAGUACAGUCUUUUACUUUUCAAUUUCAGGACUUCCAUACAAUUCAUGAAAGAUACAAAUAGCUUUCACAUAAGUGUGAUUUGAGGGUAGAUUUAUAUUGCUUGUUUUUUUAUGUUUAUUGUUUUCUAUUUGUAAAAAGGUCUUUGUGUGUUGGAGAAUAAAAGCUGAGUUAAUGCACUGCACAUUACAACUGUUAACAAUCUGGCACAAGUUAACUGGUAAAGGUCAAACUACAUAAAAUUACUCCAAUAGAUUCUGAAAAUUUAAGUGCAGCUGUGGAUUGGAACAUAAUAUUAUAGUGUAACACAUGGUGAAUGUUCCUAGAAACCCAAAAGGCUAUCAGGAAUGAACUGAACUAUUUGUGCUGGAAAAAUCCUGAUCUAAGGUUAACAGUUUACAUGGAUUCAAAAAGAAACUGAAGUAAUCUGGAGAAGAAAAAACAAAAUGAAAGCUGUUAAGUCCAAGAGGUGACCUCAACCCUAGGAAUCCUCUGCAGAGUUGCAGGCUUUGAGUGAAUCCUGGAAUAGGACUCAGUUUUUUGUCUUGUGUUUUAUUCUUCUGGAGGAAUCCACCUGAGGCCAGUUCUGCAGACAGAAUUCAGGGCAGGAUGAUCUGAUUUUUUAACCAUUCCUGUGAUUUCUCUUAGGAUUCCACAUACUCUCACACAAAUUAAAACAUGACUGAACACAGAAAGAA
rnacentral:lncRNA from 1 species